rnacentral:rRNA from 1 species
GACGAACGCUGGCGGCGUGCCUAAUACAUGCAAGUAGAACGCUGAAGGAGGAGCUUGCUUCUCUGGAUGAGUUGCGAACGGGUGAGUAACGCGUAGGUAACCUGCCUGGUAGCGGGGGAUAACUAUUGGAAACGAUAGCUAAUACCGCAUAAUAGCAGUUAUUGCAUGAUAACUGUUUGAAAGGUGCAAUUGCACCACUACCAGAUGGACCUGCGUUGUAUUAGCUAGUUGGUGGGGUAACGGCUCACCAAGGCGACGAUACAUAGCCGACCUGAGAGGGGGAUCGGCCACACUGGGACUGGGGAACGGGCCAGACUCCUUCGGGAGGCAGCAGUAGGGGAUCUUCGGCAAUGGACGGAAGGCUGAACGAGCAACGCCGCGUGAGUGAAGAAGGGUUUCGGAUCGUAAAGCUCUGUUGUAAGAGAAGAACGAGUGUGAGAGUGGAAAGUUCACACUGUGACGGUAUCUUACCAGAAAGGGACGGCUAACUACGUG